AGAAAUUUAAGUUACAUAAACUAAAGGCCUUCAAAGCCUUAAAAGGGUAUUAAAACCCCCAAUUUCUG
rnacentral:tRNA from 1 species